GCCUUUGACCAUACCUAGGCGAAAACACCAGUUCCCGUCCGAUCACUGCAGUUGAGUGAAAACGUCUGAUGGCCUCGUUUGUACUAUGGUUGGAGACAACAUGGGAAUCCGGGGUGCUGUAGGAU
rfam:Schizosaccharomyces cryophilus OY26 unplaced genomic scaffold supercont4.2, whole genome shotgun sequence.